rnacentral:rRNA from 1 species
UACGAGGGGAGCAAGCGUUGUUCGGAUUUACUGGGCGUAAAGGGCGCGUAGGCGGCCACUGCAAGUCAGUUGUGAAAUCUCCGGGCUUAACCCGGAAAGGUCAACUGAUACUGCAGGGCUAGAGUGCAGAAGGGGCAACUGGAAUUCUCGGUGUAGCGGUGAAAUGCGUAGAUAUCGAGAGGAACACCUGCGGCGAAGGCGGGUUGCUGGGCUGACACUGACGCUGAGGCGCGAAAGCCAGGGGAGCGAACAGG